UUAUUAAAGCAAGCAAUGGAUGCCUUGGCUGUUUGAGCCGAUGAAGGACGUUGCCGUCAGCGAAAAGCGCCGGGGAAGUGACAAGCAACUUGUGAUCCGGCGGUGUCCGAAUGGGGAAACCCGGCCGUGGUAGCACGGCUGCAUCCCGCAGCUGCGGGAUGGGGGUACCAUCCGAACUGAAACAUCUCAGUAGGAUGAGGAAAAGAAAGCGAAUGCGAUUCCGUUAGUAGCGGCGAGCGAAAGCGGAUUAGCCCAAACCCCGCAGUUGUGGGGGGUUGCAGGGUUCCAACGUGGGAUUGUGGUGGUUAGCAGAAGUCUCCGGAAUGAGACGCCAAAGAAGGUGAAAGCCCUGUACGCGAAAACCAAAGCAACUCUAGGAAUACCUAAGUACCACGGAAAACGCAGUUUUUGUGGGAAGCUGGUCGAACCAUCGACCAAGGCUAAAUACUCAAACAGACCGAUAGUGAACCAGUACCGUGAGGGAAAGGUGAAAAGUCCCCGUAAAAGGGUGUGAAAUAGAACCUGAAAUUGCUUGCUAACAAGCAGACAAAGCCCGUCCUUCGGACAGGAAUCUUCAGAUAUUCGAAUUUUCAAAUGUUCAAAAUUUUUUGAAUAUUGAAUUUUUGAAGUUUGGAGUUUCUCGCCCGGAGGGUGAGUGAUGUCGUGCCUAUUGAAGAAUGAGCCAGCGAGUUUUUGAGCAUCGCGAGUUUAACCCCGCCACUGCGGGGGUAGGCGUAGUGAAAGCAAGCCCGAUAAGGGCGUCAGCGGUGUUCAAAAAACCCGAAACCGAGCGAGCUAACCAUGGGCAGGGUGAAUCCCGCAGAAAUGCGGGAGAAAGCCCGAACCAGUGCCUGUUGCAAGAGACUUGGAUGACCUGUGGUUAGGGGUAAUAUGCCUAUCGAGCCCGGAAAUAGCUGGUUCUCCCCGAAAUAUAUAUUGGUAUAGCCCCGUCUAAAGUUUUGCUGGGGUAGAGCACUAAAUGGGCAUAGGGUCGCAAGAUCUUGUGUUCAAUUAAACUCCGAAUACGGCAAAAUGUUUGACGGGAGUCAGUCCUGCCGGGCUAAGCUGGUAGGGCGAGAGGGAAACAGCCCAGACUUUCGUCUAAGGUCUCUAAAUUUCAUUUAAGUGUCAAAGGAAGUAAAAUCCCUCAGACACCUAGGAGGUUGGCUUAGAAGCAGCCAUCCUUUAAAGAAAGCGUAACAGCUCACUGGACGAGGGGUUUUGCGCCGAAAAUCCAUCGAGGCUAAAAAUGAAUACCGAAGACAGAGGUGGACCACGUCGCCGCAAGGCUAUGUGGCCCGCAGUAGGGGAGCGUCCCGCCGACAGUGAAGCCCUUCCGUAAGGAUAGGGUGGAGUUUGCGGGAGUGAGAAUGCUGGCAUGAGUAGCGAAAUGCCGAUGAAAAAUCGGCACGCCGUAUGCCCAAGGUUUCCGAAGCAAUGUUUAUCAGCUUCGGGUUAGUCGGUCCUAAGGUGAGCCCCGCAACUGCGGGAGUAGCCGAUGGAUAACAGGUUGAUAUUCCUGGACUGUUGGCAGUUCGUUGAGCUGGGGAUGGACAAGAUUGGAAAACUCUGGCGGAGCGUUGAAGUUGCUUUCGUCUAAACUGUAAAAUAGUUUUGCUAGGAAAAUCCGGCAAGAUGAUUAAAUUAAGCAGUGAAUGAAAGAGCCGCCUUAGGUGGCUCAAUUAGAUGCGUUUUCAGUCUUUUAAAAAAGGUUCGCAGCGAGAAUUGUCACAACCGUACCGCAAACCGACACAGGUGGGCUGGUAGAGUAUACCAAGGCGAUCGGGAGAAGGGGGAUUAAGGAAUUCGGCAAAUUAGCUGGGCGUAAGGUAACGAGAUGCCCUACCCGCAAAGAAAGCGCGUAAGCGCUUGCUUUUCGCGGGUCGCAGCGAAAGAUUGUUCGCCGACUGUUUAUCUAAAACACAGGUCUCUGCAAAGCCGCAAGGCAACGUAUAGGGGCUGAAGUCUGCCCGGUGCCGGAAGGUUAAGGAGAGGGGUGACCCCUGCCUAUUGGCGGGGUAAGCUCUCAACCGAAGCCCCGGUGAACGGCAGCAGUAACUAUAACUGUUCGAUGGUAGCGAAGUCCUUUGUCGGGUAAGUUCCGACCCGUAUGAAAGACCCAACGAGUGAACAACUGUCUUGAUCCCUCCCCCGGCGAAAUUGAAAUGGCUGUGAAGAUGCGGCCUACUUACUGCAGGACAAAAAGACCCCGUGAAGCUUUACUAUAGCUUGGCAUUGGUUUGGAUUUGUUAAUUGUUGAGAAUAGGAGGGAGGCCCACCUUUGGUGGACCGUCAGUGAAAUACCUCUCUUUGAUGGAUUCAAACCUAACCUAUAAAUUCUGGAGACGAAUUUGGGGACAAUGUCUGGUGGAUAGUUUGACUGGGGAAGUCGCUUGCUCAAAGGUAACGCGAGCGCACCAAGGUCGGCUUAGUCCGGAUGGAAAUCGGACUGGACGUGCAAAGGCAAAAGCCGGCUUGACUGUGAGACUGACGGGUCGAACAGGGAGGAAACUCGGUCUUAAUGAUCCUCCGACUCAUUAUGGUUUGGUCGGAGCUUAACGGAUAAAAGCUACUCCGGGGAUAACAGGCUAGUCGCGCCCGAGAGUUCAUAUCGACGGCGCGGUUCGGCACCUCGAUGUCGGCUCAGCGUAUCCUGGGGGUGAAGAAGCUCCCAAGGGUUGGUCUGUUCGCCCAUUAAAACGCUACGUGAGCUGGGUUCAGAGCGUCGUGAGACAGCUCGGCCUCUAUCCGCAGUAAGCGCAAGAUACUUGAGAGAGUCUGACCACAGUACGAGAGGACCUGGUUGGAGUGAUCCCUAGUGUGCCAGUUGUUGCCGUCAGGCGCAUCGCUGGGUAGCUACAUCACUUCGGGAUAACCGCUGAAAGCAUCUAAGCGGGAAACCCAUCUCAAGAUAAGGUAUCUUUUAAGAUCGGUCGAAGAUUACGACCUUGAUAGGCUGGCGGUGUAAGUUCCGUAAGGAAUUUAGCUUACCAGUACUAAUCGAUCGUUAGUA
rnacentral:rRNA from 1 species